GUGCCCUCUGAAGCUGUGCUAGCUGGCAUCCCUGUCACAUCAAUGUCCUUCAAGGAGUCUUAGACCCAGGCACACUUCAGUAGGAAUGUCACCACCAUUAAUUAUCUGAAAGCAAAAUUUUAAUUGUGACUGUGAAUGUGAACUUUGCCUCCUAGGAAUCUUUCUACAGUCUUCAUAGUACAUAGUUAAAAUAUUUCUUCUCAGCCCAGAGGAAAACUUUAGUGUAUUCCCAGGAGGGGCUUCUGCAACCAUAAAAGCACUUACAAUGAGUACAAUGGUCAGCUAUACAUCAAGGUCACCAAAAUGAACUGUUGCCUUUGAACCUCAGGUCCUAAAUAAUUUGCAGAGAGUGUCCAAGUUCAAGGGCUUUCCAUGCACAGUUUUACUGUGGAAGCCUCUUCUUCCAGACCAUAAGUGAGCUUAGAAAAAGUAAAUAAUAAAUAUAUUUUGGUUUUUGUUGGGAGAAAAAAGGCAAGAACCAGAUUGUCCUCUUAUUAUACCUACUAUGUUUUUUUCUUAUGCGGUGCUUUUUACUAGGCAUCCAAUAUGAUUGGAUUCAUUCUGGAUUGCAUUUAAGAUUUUUCCCUCAUAUAGAUACCCCCAAAACAUAGAAGGGAUCUAUUGAGGACAGGUAGCUCCCCUUAUAUUCUUGUCAUUAGUGAAUAUUUAUGAAUAUCUGAUAGCUCUUAACCUGUCAGCUGAGUCUUCUUCAGAUCUAAAUAAUUCCAGGGAGAGAAUUAAGAGAAAUUUGGUUAAAGGUAUGAUUUUACUUCACGUAAACAGCUUUCUAAAGAUUUAUAUAAAGCUAAUUCUGCUGGCUCAGUACUGUAAGAAAUAGAAUCGUGCUACAUGGUAUGGCAGCAAUUGUGUUACCUCGGAAGGCAUAAAUCACUUGGCUAAUUUGGCUAAUCACAUGAGUAGUUAGCAUACACAUUUUAUUUACCAAGGCCGAUAAAAAAGAACUCCCAGAAGUUGGCUGUAUUUGAAUCAAAUGUCACUGUCAAGAUAAGACAAUAUCGAUUCCAUAAUACAUACUGUUAUUUUCUAAUGUAUCCAUAAUGAAAAAGUCCAUCAUGAAAAGUAAUAUAAAAUAUGGAUUUUGUAUCAAAACUCUGUCAAAAAGUACAGUUCACAUCAGACAUUAAUAGCACCGGGGAGUUAAAAGAUUAAUCCAAAGACAAAUACAUAUUACAGAUGUUUCUUUGUUCUUCACUUACCAUGAUGCAAACUGCAAGGAUUUAACCUUUA
rnacentral:lncRNA from 1 species